rnacentral:lncRNA from 1 species
AAAACAGGCUUAAGAACAGAAACACCAACUGACAAACACAAGUUCCAGUCAGUUAUAGGUAUUGCUCUAUUAUAUUUGCUAUCCUUGGAGAGAAAAGUAUAUUACAGCAUUAUUUUAUUGAAAAGCUUUAUAGACUUUACUUUUCAAAACGUUCCAUGUAGUCUACCAGGCUGCAAUUCAUCAAGAAAUACAUUUGAUGUUAGUCCGAGAGGCACUUUUAUAACUUGUUCUUUCUCUGGGAACAUAACUGAACAUAAAGCAAAGUAUCCACUUGCUAAUAGGUUGAUAGGAUAAAGGCGUUUGAUGAUGAGAACAGAAAUAAUCCUGAAGGUAACUCUGCUGAAUGUCUGGGGACAGUGCAGCUGCUCGGGGUGCUGAGUUGAUAAGCUGUCGAUAGUGGCAGGAAAAUAGGCUGUCUCCCUCACUUUCCCAUUGACUUACUUACAGGCUGCAUCUGACCAGCUGUAGAAAAUCCAAUUGUACCGGAAGGCAAAGGGACCACAAGGGCGUAGGAAGAAGCUGUGAUACCAGCUGUGCAUUGAGUCAGUAAGCUUCCCCAGCAGCCUCCACUUGACUUGAAAUCUGCCAUGCCUUGAUGGACAUCUGAGAAGAGAGUGAGGUCCCAGAGAGGCUGCCUAUGAAUUCAGGCAGCAGUAUAUCAAGAUGAGAAAUGUAUAAACAGCAGAGAUGCUGGAGGUCUGCGUCCCCAGUCAAACAGGUACAAAGAAGACUAUGGAGUUAGAUAUAUGUAACAGCUCAUUUGCAGAGAAAUAUCCCCUACAAGACAGGAAGAUGCUGCUUCUAAUCACACAGCCGAAGUGCGACGUUGUGAGACUGAAAUGGACAACCGAACCAUAUGAUCAGCCUUCUUUUAUGAGAACACUAUGUCAGUCAGUCAGUUUAUGACCUGAAAUUACAUGGGAAGAGUCUGAUCCUGGCCCCGCUGAAUGCAAAGAGGAGAUGCAGCUUUGGAGCUCCUGCCAUCAUCACAUCCUCGACCUUUUGUGUGUCAUUAGCUUGAGACUGAAGUUGUCCUGUCCCUCCCGACCUCUCAGCGGGAGCUGAGCUGAGCAGCACCGCGGGCACCCAGCACCCAGGUCCUUCCUGUGUCAGAGGCCUCGGUGGGCUCAGCAC